rnacentral:rRNA from 1 species
CAGGUGGUUUCUUAAGUCUGAUGUGAAAGCCCACGGCUCAACCGUGGAGGGUCAUUGGAAACUGGGAGACUUGAGUGCAGAAGAGGAUAGUGGAAUUCCAAGUGUAGCGGUGAAAUGCGUAGAGAUUUGGAGGAACACCAGUGGCGAAGGCGACUGUCUGGUCUGUAACUGACACUGAGGCGCGAAAGCGUGGGGAGCAAACAGGAUUAGAUACCCUGGUAGUCCACGCCGUAAACGAUGAGUGCUAAGUGUUANGGGGUUUCCGCCCCUAGUGCUGCAGCUAACGCAUUANGCACUCCGCCUGGGGAGUACNCNCCCAGUGUGAACUCAAAGGAAUUGACGGGGGCCCCCCCAAGCGGU